CGCUGGCGGCACGCUUAACACAUGCAAGUCGAACGGAGAAUUUGGAUUAUCGGAAUUCUAGUGGCGGACGGGUGAGUAACACGUGAGCAACCUGCCUCUGAGAGAGGGAUAGCUUCUGGAAACGGAUGGUAAUACCUCAUAACAUAACGAAGCCGCAUGACUUUGUUAUCAAAGAUUCAUCACUCAGAGAUGGGCUCGCGUCUGAUUAGAUAGUUGGUGAGGUAACGGCUCACCAAGUCGACGAUCAGUAGCCGGACUGAGAGGUUGAACGGCCACAUUGGGACUGAGACACGGCCCAGACUCCUACGGGAGGCAGCAGUGGGGAAUAUUGCACAAUGGGGGAAACCCUGAUGCAGCGAUGCCGCGUGGAGGAAGAAGGUUUUCGGAUUGUAAACUCCUGUCUUAAAGGACGAUAAUGACGGUACUUUAGGAGGAAGCUCCGGCUAACUACGUGCCAGCCGCCGC
rnacentral:rRNA from 1 species